UGGUGUGCUGCGGUUGUUGCUUCCUGU
rnacentral:piRNA from 1 species